rnacentral:rRNA from 1 species
AUUGAACGCCGGCGGCAGGCCUAACACAUGCAAGUCGAACGGUAACAGGAAGCAGCUUGCUGCUUUGCUGACGAGUGGCGGACGGGUGAGUAAUGUCUGGGAAACUGCCCGAUGGAGGGGGAUAACUACUGGAAACGGUAGCUAAUACCGCAUAACGUCGCAAGACCAAAGAGGGGGACCUUAGGGCCUCUUGCCAUCGGAUGAGCCCAGAUGGGAUUAGCUAGUAGGUGGGGUAACGGCUCACCUAGGCGACGAUCCCUAGCUGGUCUGAGAGGAUGACCAGCCACACUGGAACUGAGACACGGUCCAGACUCCUACGGGAGGCAGCAGUGGGGAAUAUUGCACAAUGGGCGCAAGCCUGAUGCAGCCAUGCCGCGUGUAUGAAGAAGGCCUUCGGGUUGUAAAGUACUUUCAGCGGGGAGGAAGGGAGUAAAGUUAAUACCUUUGCUCAUUGACGUUACCCGCAGAAGAAGCACCGGCUAACUCCGUG